CGCUAGCUACAGGCUUAACACAUGCAAGUCGAGGGGCAGCGGGAUUGAAGCUUGCUUCAAUUGCCGGCGACCGGCGCACGGGUGAGUAACACGUAUCCAACCUUCCGUUUACUCGGGGAUAGCCUUUCGAAAGAAGGAUUAAUACCCGAUAGUAUGGUGAGAUUGCAUGAUAGCACCAUUAAAGAUUCAUCGGUAAACGAUGGGGAUGCGUUCCAUUAGGUAGUAGGCGGGGUAACGGCCCACCUAGCCUUCGAUGGAUAGGGGUUCUGAGAGGAAGGUCCCCCACAUUGGAACUGAGACACGGUCCAAACUCCUACGGGAGGCAGCAGUGAGGAAUAUUGGUCAAUGGGCGAGAGCCUGAACCAGCCAAGUAGCGUGAAGGAUGAAGGUCCUACGGAUUGUAAACUUCUUUUAUAAGGGAAUAAAACGCUCCACGUGUGGAGCCUUGUAUGUACCUUAUGAAUAAGCAU
rnacentral:rRNA from 1 species